GGCCUAACACAUGCAAGUCGAGCGGCAGCGGGGGGAAGCUUGCUUCCCCGCCGGCGAGCGGCGGACGGGUGAGUAAUGUCUGGGGAUCUGCCCGAUGGAGGGGGAUAACCACUGGAAACGGUGGCUAAUACCGCAUAACCUCUGUGGAGUAAAGUGGGGGACCUUCGGGCCUCACGCCAUCGGAUGAACCCAGAUGGGAUUAGCUAGUAGGUGGGGUAAUGGCUCACCUAGGCGACGAUCCCUAGCUGGUCUGAGAGGAUGACCAGCCACACUGGGACUGAGACACGGCCCAGACUCCUACGGGAGGCAGCAGUGGGGAAUAUUGCACAAUGGGCGCAAGCCUGAUGCAGCCAUGCCGCGUGUAUGAAGAAGGCCUUCGGGUUGUAAAGUACUUUCAGCGGGGAGGAAGGCAACAGCGUAAAUAGCGCUGUUGAUUGACGUUACCCGCAGAAGAAGCACCGGCUAAC
rnacentral:rRNA from 1 species